rnacentral:rRNA from 1 species
UACGGAGGAUCCAAGCGUUAUCCGGAUUUAUUGGGUGUAAAGGGUGCGUAGACGGGAAUUUAAGUUAGUUGUGAAAUACCUCGGCUCAACUGAGGAACUGCAACUAAAACUGAAUUUCUUGAGUGCUGGAGAGGAAAGUGGAAUUCCUAGUGUAGCGGUGAAAUGCGUAGAUAUUAGGAGGAACACCAGUGGCGAAGGCGACUUUCUGGACAGUAACUGACGUUGAGGCACGAAAGUGUGGGGAGCAAACA